rnacentral:rRNA from 1 species
UACAGAGGUCCCAAGCGUUGUUCGGAUUCACUGGGCGUAAAGGGUGCGUAGGCGGUUGGACAAGUCUGAUGUGAAAUCCCGCAGCUUAACUGCGGAACGGCAUUGGAAACUGUCUGACUAGAGGAAUGGAGGGGAGACUGGAAUACUUGGUGUAGCAGUGAAAUGUGUAGAUAUCAAGUGGAACACCAGUGGCGAAGGCGAGUCUCUGGACAUUUCCUGACGCUGAGGCGCGAAAGCUAGGGGAGCAAACAGG